AUGUGCUUGAGCAGGCAUUUGGACCUUAGGAUGACGGGUGCAACAUCUCGGGGAGAACCAAGUCCUCGUAAUGGCAUCUCUAGCCAUAACAGUUCAGUUGGUGCACAGCGACGUGGUGGCUCGACAAGUGUGGGCAACAGCAGUAGGGUCCCCCUUGAAGUGGAGCCUGAUGACUACAAUUCUGGGGUUGAUGAAGAGAAGCUAUAUUCUGAUGUUAUUCGGAAUUUACGAUGGGCACCUCGGGCUGAUAACCAAGAUGAGGCUCACAAUGCAGUCCGUGUGGAUGAUGACGCGGUGGGUGAGGACGAAGAUCUUGCAGCUAUUGAAUGGGACCCUUUGAACCCUCAUAUGGAAGAAGAUACAGUUUUUGCAUCCAUGAAUGAGUGUAGAAAUGCACUUGUGACAUACUGCAUCAAGGUAGAACGUACAUUCAAAGUUGACAAGAGCGAUCAAGUACGUUACAGAGUGCACUGUCCGACUGAGGGUUGUCCAUGGAGGCUGCUUGCAUCUAAAAUGCGAAAUAGCACUAAUGUUCAGGUCAAAGUGAACCCUUUUAAGCACACAUGCCAGGAAUCAACCCUUAGGAAGGAUACAAUUAGUAGAGCCAAGUCAAGAUGGGUGGCAGAAGAAGUAAAGAAGUGGGUGAAAGAAAACCAGCAAGUGGGUCCAAAGGAAUUGCGGAAGAACAUCAAAGAUAAAUUCAAGAUAGAUUUACCAUACAUGAGGUUGUUCAAUGGUAAACAA
rnacentral:rRNA from 1 species